rnacentral:hammerhead_ribozyme from 1 species
GCACUGUUGAGGAGUCUCACAACAGGACGAAACGGCCGUCUAGUGC